rnacentral:misc_RNA from 1 species
AGCAGAAGUCAAGUUAUUUUUAGAGGAUAUUCGGUCACACACUUCAGGGGAGGUCCAUGGAACUCAGGGGGGCAGUGCCAUAAAGAAAGGGAACCAAUAUUCAACAAGUCUUAUUUAGCAAAAUACCCUUCAAAAAUGAAAGUGCUACAUCACGUCCUUCAUAAUAUGACUACCCCUGUCAUUUAUAUGAACAUUAGUAGGCUUACAGACUAUCGUAAAGAUGGUCAUCCAUCGAUAUACAGAAAGGAGUACAAGAGAGUAGAAGAAGCAAUACACUCUCAGGAUUGCAGUCAUUGGUGCUUACCAGGUGUACCCGACACUUGGAACGAGUUGUUAUAUGCGUCUCUCCUGAAAACCAGAAAAGGCUCUUGGAACAACUGAACUUUUUCUUUAUUGCUCAUUCUUGUCAAUGCAAAAAAGAAGCUGGGGAUGUUCGUGUGUAUUAGAUAGAUCAGUAUUGGAGAUGAGAAUAUUGAGCUAAUCACACUAUUUUUCAUUAUCUAACAAUGUGAUAUCUUGUAUUUAAGUAACAAUCAAAGCAUAAACACAAAAU